CAGAAUAUCAAGUAUGAGCAUACGUAUGAUGAUGAUGAUGGCAACACCCACUUCUUGGCAUACUCUCUUACAGCAAUCAUUCUCAUCUUAGCCACCUACAUCAUGUAUCACAACAAGCAAAAGAUCAUUGCCGUAGUCAUAGAGGGCAGGAACAGCAGGGGGAGAAGAAAGCGAGGAGGGUCAGGAUACCAGAAGCUAGACCAGAACAUCAGCGAAGCAAUGCCAUCCAUGCAUAGCCAAAAUGCAUAAACUCCAAUACUACACAGCAUUAUCUAUUAGGGCUGACACACCUUGGGGGAGGGUUAGUUUAACAAAUAUUUAAGUGUAAUUUAGAGUCCCAUUUAAAUUCCUAUUUGUGGUUUAAAAGACAUCACUGAAUUGAUCAAACCAUGCUAAGGUGAUGCAUGCUUCUGUGUAUUAAUAAAUAAGAUUACUAUUAUGGUAACUGUGCCAUCCAAUGGUAACUACCAUGGUAACGACAAUCAACAGCCAAUCAGAAUCAAGGAUUCCAUGCAAGUUACCAUAAUGGUAACUUUUGUGCUACGGGGCCCUGAUGCGAGGAUUGUGGUAGCUUAUUACAAGAGUCGGUGAAAUUCAUUUUUUUCAUGAAAUACUUGCCUGGUCAUUCAUGAAUUACAGAGGUAAUCUAGCUCAGAAUGAUGUGAUUUGAAUGAGUCGAGUAAUAUAAAUCAAGUGAAACACUGCUUGGUUAACCAAACUUUGAUGAUGAAAAGUAAUUUGCACUUACAGUAUGUUGCAUAAUUUUGGAACUGCAUACCCAAGCUUUUUAAUUUGAUGUGCAAGACUUGCAAGUAAAAAGUCAGUGAGCAAUAUGGUAAAAAAAAUUGCACGACAGAAUAAUUGAGGAAAAUGUUGAGGGAGGAGUUGUUCAAUACAAUCAUCCUGCAAUGAUUAUGUUACCAAGUAAAAAAACAAGUAGGCCUACAGGUAACUUAUUUUCCUCAAAACAUGUUGGUUUCUUAAAAAUUAUAUUAUAGACAUUUAUAUACUGAAAUCUACACUGUACUAUUGAUAGGAAAUAGUCAUACUUGGUUAUUUUGUAGCACAUCACACAUCACAGAUUGCAUGUCUUUAUGUGAUAAAAGGAUAGAAAUCUCAAGUUAUAUUCAUAAGACUCGCUCUUAUAAUGCACAGUUAGUGAGACACCACAUGCAAUAUCAGUAAGUUUGGUCUCGCCUUAAGGACGUUCCACGGUUAAAAUGAAAUCCAUGCAUUUUCAUCAAACUUUACAUAUAAAUACUUUAGCACCUGAAUAUUUCAUGUAAAAAUUAACGUUGGUCCAUGUGCUUGAUUUUUUGCUAUGGAGCUUCAAAGUUCACCCAAAUGGAUGAGAACUGCAUUCAAAAGAAUUUGGCAUUUUUAGACCUCACGAGAUCACUACAAUGAGUUUAAACCUCCAUUACUCAGUCAAAAUCUAUGAAAAUUUCAUCAUAUUUUGCAAUGUAGUUAAUAAUUGUAUACUUAAGAUGGAGGAUCUAUCUAUAUUGCUAUUUGAUUGCUCUUUUAAGUAUAACAGCACUGUCAGUUCUUAAAAAGUGGUUUGAAAUAUAACAAAAACCCAAUCUUAAAAUUUUAAAUUUCAAUAACAAACUUGAGAAGUACAAUAAAUGCUGCACUUUAUUUAAAAUCCAUGUCAUUUUUACCAAACAUUGGUGCAAACAUUAAAAAUUAUGGGUUCAUGUGCUUGUUUUCAAAUUAUCAGCACUUUUAUAUGAGCAAAUGUGCUUUUUCAAAUACAAAAAAUGCACCAAAUGCUUUGUAUCUAUGUGAAUCACUGAUACCAUUUCUUCAAACUCGGGGUCAUAUUCAUCAUACUGUGCAGCACUGUAGAGUAAAGUAUUUUGAAAUUGAAAAUGGUCCAUGAAGUAAUUCAAGUUUAUUAGGUUCAUAAAAGAACACAUCAAAUCUGCAGUUAGAGUGCAGAUAAUAAGAAAAGUCAGCUCAUACCUACAGCUGAUUAAUCACCUGUUCAUCCAUUGUGACGUCAGCGCACAGAGUGUAAAAUAUGCGCAUAUCAUGAUGUGCACAAACAUAACUGUGGAACGUCCUUAAUAGGAGAAUUAAGGACUUUAUGUGAUACUCUUGUUCUUUUCCUCACAUUUAUUUGCCAGCUGUGAAUACACUUAUGACUCUUCUCUGACUUGUAAUAUCAGUAAACCCUUAUACCACUAGGUUCUUUCUGGUCAGUAUAUAUUUGGGGAGGAGGGCAUUAUAGCCCCCUUAAUACUUUGCCAUGGAUCACCUGCUUACCCCCUAAAUAUUCCAUGAGGGUAGAGGAUUUGCACUUCACAGCAUUUUGAUUAGAUUAAAUAAAUUCUUUUGAUGUAUAUAUUCUGUUGAUUAAUCAUGCUAAGGUAUGAAGUCAAAAUUUGGUCAUAAAUCUUUAAAUCAAUGCCCCAAACUGCUAUUCUAUUUAGUGACUCUUUUAGGGAUUGGAUCAGAAUAUCUGAAAGAGUCACUAAAUGAAAUACAUGCUGAUCCAGUGUGGGUCAACAUGAAUAAGAUAUGAAUUGUAUUCUCUUACAUAUUUAUCUUUGUUUUUGUUUUUUUAUAAAAAAAAGGAAAAAGAAAGUUGCUUAUUUGAUGGGAAUGGUCUGUGACACUAUUCCAAUCAUAAAUCAUUAAAAUGAUGUACAUGUAUGUUUAUCACUAAAAGAAGCAAUAAUAAUGUGUUUUGUUGGUGAGAAACUGAAAUCAUGUUGGAUUAGUAUUUAAAAUAAUAUUUUUCAGCAGUUUUGAGUUAGGCAUACACUUUCAAAGUGAUGCAUAACACGAUGUCACGAAUUUGGUCUGAAAAGAUAGUUGAAAGAAAAAUAAAUAAUCAAGAAACUAGUCAAUUGUUUCUGUAUGGUGAAAGUAUUGCGUGAAACCUUUAGGGGCUGGGGCAUAAUACUACCCCGCCCCCAGUCAUUUUAGGGUUAAUCUAGUAUAUGCUUUUGUUGCAUAACAUAUUAUUUUCUCAUCAGUCAAUUCAAUUGCUUGUACAUACUUGUCAAUUUACCACAUUCAAAAUGUGCCUUCUAGUAUAACAUCACCAUAAGAAUUUUUGUUUUGGUUUAUAUAUUUUGUUCGUUUCUUUGUUCAAUUUUAAUUUGACCAUUUUUAUUGGUGGAAGUCACUUCUAUUUAGAGAUACUUUACAACUCAAUUGAUUUUACUGCUGUAUUGAUAUAUUAUAUAUGUUAAACUGGUAUAUUAUGUAUUGCUGCUUGUUGCUUUUAUUUUGAAGAAAAUAACAUAGUAUCUCGGCCACCAGAAAUCAAGUUGAGACCAAGGUAUCUAAAUGAUGGCCUUCAUCUGUUCAUUACAGAUCUUGUUAUAUGCUUUGUGUGGUCUCAUUGCAUUGAAUUGAAUUGGAUUCAUUUAUUUUCCAUUAAAAAAAACAUGCAAAAUCAAGAAUAUACAACAUUACAAAGUAUAAAAAUGAGACAUUAUACAAAUGACGUAUACUUUGAAAUAAAUGCAAAAUACUUCGUUUUAUAUAUACAUAUUAGGAAAAUUGGAUGCCCAUGGAAGCAUUAUGCUUGUAGGGUUGGGUCGCCCAGAAAAAAUAUGAAUCAGUAAAUGAUAGAAUACAUAAUACAGUUAUAUGGAAUACUAAAUGGAUAAGGUCAUUGGUGAUUUCAGGUCAAAUAUUAGUCUUCCUGCAAGAUUUUCAUAUGACAUAACUUUGCAACCGUUGGUCCCUUUUUUUUUGGGGGGGGGGGGAGUUGUCAGGGGCACUGUUCCCAUCAUUAAGAACAUCAAAUUAAUUGAGUAAAAAGGAUACACUGGUCAAUUCUUUGGCUUUGACUUUGAACAUCAAAUCCUAUUUUUUGAGAAAUGUUUGAGUUGGUCUAACCUGCAUUGACAAAGCGUAACUUUGUACCUGGGCUUCACAAGUUUGGUCUCAAAAAGUUGUGAAAGACAAGAUAACAUGCCCCCCCCCCCCACUCGUCUUAGUAAGGUAGAACUUCAAGGGGAAUUAUGUACCGAGGAGUAGCAUUUUUUUUUUAAAAGUAGUCCUAGAAUUUGAAAGGAUGUUACAAUCAACUAUGUCCUAUAUUGCCCACUACAGCUGUGGCUGUGGCAAUGGACUGCAAUAUUUCUAUUCAUUUCAUUUUUGCAAUUGGCCGAGAUAUCCCAAAUGAUUUGUGGGAAUUCAUAAUUUUUUUUUGAUGUGAUGUUUUUUUUAAGUAAGUAUAAGAUAUGUACCUUUUGUAUAUAUUCCAUACAAAUACAUUAAUAUGUGUAACCAUGUUGUAAAUUUCAUUUUUGUAGUUAAGAUGCAAUAUUGUAUGAACGUACAUAAGUUAAUUAAAGUAAAAGCAAGCGUAUAUCAUGGUUAA